CUUGAACUUUUGGCAUCGAUCGUUUUUAACAACAAUCAUGGUUGAUCAUUACCCACUAUUCGCAUGCAGAAAAUUAAAGAUGUUCAAUGUGUGUAUAAAAGCUAGCUAUUAGUAGUUUUAUGUUAUGUAGCUUUGGCACCUCCACCGAGGCAUCAGCACCCGCGGUGCUUUCAUUAUAUAAGUCCUAAAAUGGAGUGUGGAAGUGGCUUUAUGCUCUCAAGAAGUGGUGAACGGAUAUCCCCAGAGAUAUCCUGCAUCAUCUAUGAUGCAGGUGAUUCAAAAGAGCGGAAACACCAAUGAAGCCCUAGUCCAAGCACUGGUAAUGCAAGCUAUUGCAGAUGAUUUGUCCAAUGAAGCGAAAGAAUCGAGAGGAAGAGAUAGAGCAAACAUUGCUCAAAAUUCCGGCCCCGUAACUAUCAAGGAUUGUGGUACUCUGGACAAAUUGUAAACAGUGUACUGCAGGCAUCACUAUUCUGGGUUCCUGCAAGUGCUCUAAAGGUUACAGUCAACUGUGGGAUAUCAUCAGGCUGCACACAAGUUAAAGUCGAAGUUCCAACAGGCACGGUCCAGGCUGAUAUUGCUGUUUGCAUUGAUGAAGCAACAAACAAGUUUUGUGUGAAAGUGUUUGGUGGAGCAUCGUGUAAACCAAGUUUGUUGGCAAUCCCCAUCCCUAUUAACAUCCCCAUAGCUUCAUCUGGAACAGCUGCUCCAAUCACACUGAUGAUUGACCUACUUGGAAGCAGUCCAUGUGUGAGCGUUAAAUUGAACAAUAGUUACCCAAAAUGUUCAAACAACUAAAGAAGCAAAGAACGAUGGAUAUAUAUACCAGUAGUGUUGUAGAUAGCUAUAGGGAGCUGCUAUAGAUCUAUUAUGCUAUAAUUAUGUGCAUGCAUAGAGUGACUUGAAAGUUUAGCGUACCAUUGUAUAGAAUGUAUACGAGUUGACUAGAUAUAAA